GAGCAGUUAGUGAGCAGCUUCUGGGGUGGAGGCUCUGCAGCUGGCGCCGGGGCCCUGGGCCGAUUCCUCAGCCUCUGAGGCCUCACCUUUGGCGUGGGGAAAUAAACGCGUGCACUCUGCAGGAGUAUUGUGAGGGUGGUCAUGUAUUCGGGACAGUGCCCGGCAUGCAGUGUUAGCUGGAAGAGUGUUAGCUGUUGCGAUUAUUAUAGUCCUUUCUCCACUCUUAUAAUUCCCAGGAGUCUCUUUCUCUCUGGGAAUGUAAGUUCCAGGAGGAUGAGGACCGCUAGUGGUUCCAGUGAGCCCCCUGCAUGUCCCAGGCACUGGCCAUGCCCUCCAGGGCUUCCGUUUGGCCAGGGAGCAGUGGCCCGAGCCGCCCCAUGCCCAGCAUAUUCACACAGUGCUGUGGGGAGGCCACCGCUACCCAGGAAGAGGGGUGCAGUCAGCUCAGGGAGACUCCACAGAAGAGGCACCGGUGCAAUGUGGUGGGAAGGAUGAGGACCUUGCCGGGCCUAAUUCGUCCUUGUCUGGAGAACUGGGCGCCUCCUCACUGUUCCCUGGGCUCCCUGGACAGAACCUGUCGGAGCUGGACACCAAGAUCCAGGAGAAAGCCAUGAAGGUGGAUAUGGACAUCUGCCGCCGCAUCGACAUCACCGCCAAGCUCUGCGAUGUGGCUCAGCAGCGCAACUGCGAGGACAUGAUCCAGAUGUUCCAGGUCCCAUCCAUGGGGGGGCGGAAGCGGGAGCGCAAGGCUGCCGUCGAGGAGGACACCUCCCUGUCGGAGAGUGAGGGGCCCCGCCAGCCCGAUGGGGAUGAGGAGGAGAGCACAGCCCUCAGCAUCAACGAGGAGAUGCAGCGCAUGCUCAACCAGCUGAGGGAGUAUGAUUUUGAGGACGACUGUGACAGCCUGACUUGGGAGGAGACUGAGGAGACCCUGCUGCUUUGGGAGGAUUUCUCAGGCUAUGCCAUGGCAGCUGCAGAGGCCCAGGGAGAGCAGGAAGAUAGCCUGGAGAAGGUGAUUAAAGAUACGGAGUCCCUGUUCAAAACCCGGGAGAAGGAGUAUCAGGAGACCAUUGACCAGAUAGAGCUGGAGUUGGCCACGGCCAAGAACGACAUGAACCGGCACCUGCACGAGUACAUGGAGAUGUGCAGCAUGAAGCGCGGCCUGGACGUGCAGAUGGAGACCUGCCGCCGGCUCAUCACCCAGUCUGGAGACCGAAAGUCUCCUGCUUUCGCUGCGGUCCCGCUUAGCGACCCGCCGCCGCCGCCGCCAAGCGAGGCUGAGGACUCCGAUCGCGAUGUCUCAUCUGACAGCUCCAUGAGAUAGAGACCUGCCUCCCCCUUGCACCCGAGGCCCUCGCAGCGGGGACCUCAGCGAGGCAGAGGGUGGGGCUGCACAGAGGGGAACAUCAGCUGCAGCUCUGCACCAGGCCGGCCCCUGGGGACUGGGGCGCUCCUCCCUCAGGCUUUCUCCCUCGGUCUUGGCUUCUCCAGGGCUCUGGGGUGUCUGGAGCUAGGCUUGGCCCUACCAUUCUGGGGCCAUUUCCACCACAGUUGGGGCUCUCCUGCCUUCACGCGUGGGUGUCUGCUACUUCCCCAUCUUUAAAAUGCUGCCAGAGCGAUUGCGGCCCCUCACCUUGUCCACGUAUCAGGAAUGUGAAUGUGGGACCUUUCCUCCAUCCCUGUUGUCCGGAGCCAGCUCACUGUCUUCCACACUGGUGCUAACUGGCCCAGGCACUGGAGUGGAAUAGAAUGCAGCUGGAGGCUACGCAUGGCCUCUGCAGCACACGCAGCUGGAGAGGGCUUCUGUCCCUGUCAGCGGCAGAGGGCGUUGGGGCUGGCCGGGGCACCUUGUCCCUGCUAUGGUCCACAUGCUCACGCUGUCCACCUGCCAGGUGGAGUGUAUGUGGCUGUGGCCCUCCCUCGUGGAGGUGCCGUGCUUUAAAGAGGCCUUAGUGCCCGGGAUGGGCACAGUGUUUUGAAGGGAGGUGGGAGCUCUUGCUCUCCUGGUCACUGCAGAAUGACAGAGAAGGUGAAGCUCCGUGCAUGUGUGCGCGGGUGUAUGUGCGCUCAGGGUCUCUGUUUAAGUAUCAGCUAAAGAUGUGCCCCCUCCAUGUCUGUCAUACACUGAGACCAACAGGCUACAGUGUCCCUGAUUCUUGGAAAAGCCUGGAGAAGCUGGGGAGAUGCGGUUCACAAUGCCUCGGUAUAGGAGGCUGUGUUGAGCUGACAUUCAAAUGGAUUCUUUAAUAAUAAUGAAACUGGCGAGUAUUUAUUGUGCACUUUGGUGUCACUGUCUCAAGCACUUCCUAAUAUUCACUAGUUUGAACUCUGAGGUAGGUACUUUUUUUUUUUUGAGAUGGAGUCUCAUACUCUGUUGCCUAGGCUGGAGUGCAGUGGUGUGGUCUCAGCUCACUGCAGCCUCUGCCUCCGGGGUGCAAGCGAUUCUCCUGCUUCAGCACGCCUGUAGCUGGGACUAUAGGCAUGUGCCAUGAAGCCUGGCUGAUUUUUGUAAUUUUAGUAGAGACGGAGUUUCACCAUGUUGGCCAGGCUGGUCUCAAACUCCUGACCUCAGGUGAUACACCCACCUUGGCCUCCCAAAGUGCUGGGGUUACAGGCGUGCGCGCUCUACCGAGGUAUGUACUUUUGUCUCCACUAGGUAAGCGCAUGUGCAAAGUGAGGCCCGGGAGUAACUGCCCAAAGCAACCGAGCCAUUCAGUGGCAGAGCCAGGGGUCUGGACCUAGGUCCCAGCUACACGCCUUGCCCCUACCCAAGCUCCCCUAAGGACGAUGAUGGAAAUAAGUCACCCUGACACAUCUCAGUUCAUCUUCCUCAAAACUAUGCGAG
rnacentral:sRNA from 1 species